rnacentral:rRNA from 1 species
GUUGGCCUACGGGGCGCAGCAGUAGGGAAUUUUCGUCAAUGGGCGCAAGCCUGAACGAGCAAUGCCGCGUGAACGAGGAAGGUCUUCGGAUCGUAAAGUUCUGUUGAAGGGGAAAAAGAGCGGAGAGAGGAAAUGGUCUCCGAUUGAUAUUACCCUUCGAGGAAGUCACGGCUAACUACGUGCCAGCAGCCGCGGUAAUACGUAGGUGGCGAGCGUUAUCCGGAAUGAUUGGGAGUAAAGGGUGCGUAGGCGGCCUGCUAAGUCUGGAGCGAAAGGUACCGGCCCAACCGGUACAGG